rnacentral:rRNA from 1 species
UACGUAGGUGGCAAGCGUUGUCCGGAAUUAUUGGGCGUAAAGCGCGCGCAGGCGGUCCUUUAAGUCUGAUGUGAAAGCCCUUGGCUUAACCGAGGAAGUGCAUCCGAAACUGGCGAGCUAGAGUACGAAAGAGGAUCGCGGAAUUCCCGGUGUAGAGGUGAAAUUCGUAGAUAUCGGGAGGAACACCUGUGGCGAAAGCGGCGCACUGGACCACAUCUGACGCUGAGGCGCGAAAGGCUAGGGGAGCAAACAGG